rnacentral:rRNA from 1 species
UUGAACGCUGGCGGCAUGCUUUACACAUGCAAGUCGAACGGUAACAGGGGGCUUGCUCCGCUGACGAGUGGCGAACGGGUGAGUAAUGCAUCGGAACGUACCCAGUCGUGGGGGAUAACGUAGCGAAAGUUACGCUAAUACCGCAUACGUCCUGAGGGAGAAAGCGGGGGACCGUAAGGCCUCGCGCGAUUGGAGCGGCCGAUGUCGGAUUAGCUAGUUGGUGGGGUAAAGGCCUACCAAGGCGACGAUCCGUAGCGGGUCUGAGAGGAUGAUCCGCCACACGGGGACUGAGACACGGCCCAGACUCCUACGGGAGGCAGCAGUGGGGAAUUUUGGACAAUGGGGGCAACCCUGAUCCAGCCAUGCCGCGUGAGUGAAGAAGGCCUUCGGGUUGUAAAGCUCUUUCAGACGGAAAGAAAACGCAUCGGUGAAUACCCGGUGUGGAUGACGGUACUGUCAGAAGAAGCACCGGCUAACUACGG